rnacentral:rRNA from 1 species
CCUACGGGAGGCAGCAGUAGGGAAUUUCAAUGGGCGAAGCCUGAGGAGCAGCCGCGUGAGUGAGGACGGCUUUCGGGUUGUAAAACUCUGUUCUUCGGGAAGAACGGCGGUCGGGUGAAUAGCCCGAUUGCGUGACGGUACCGAAGGAGAAAGCCCCGGCUAACUCGUGCCAGCAGCCGCGGUAAU